rnacentral:rRNA from 1 species
CCGCGUGGACGAUGACGGCCUUCGGGUUGUAAAGUCCUUUUGGCAGGGAACAAUUUUGAGCGUACCUGCAGAAUAAGAGGUUGCUAACUCUGUGC